ACCGGCAGCCAUAUCACUCUGCAACUCAGAACUGGCAACCCACUGAAGAUAAACAGGUGUGAGCCUGGUCAGUACCUAGAUGGGAGACCUCCUGGGGAGAAACUAAGGUUGCUGCUGGAA
rnacentral:rRNA from 1 species